rnacentral:rRNA from 1 species
UACGUAGGGUGCAAGCGUUAAUCGGAAUUACUGGGCGUAAAGCGUGCGCAGGCGGUUAUAUAAGACAGUUGUGAAAUCCCCGGGCUCAACCUGGGAACUGCAUCUGUGACUGUAUAGCUAGAGUACGGUAGAGGGGGAUGGAAUUCCGCGUGUAGCAGUGAAAUGCGUAGAUAUGCGGAGGAACACCGAUGGCGAAGGCAAUCCCCUGGGCCUGUACUGACGCUCAUGCACGAAAGCGUGGGGAGCAAACAGG